rnacentral:ncRNA from 1 species
AUUCUUUUAAAAGAGAGAGGAGGUUAAAAAAAGCAUUUCCCUUGAUCAACAGGGAAAAGAUUCUCAUGAUCUUUACAAAAAUAUAAUUAAGGCACUGCCACCUACCCUAUAGCAUCUAACCAUGCUGUUAU